UACGUAGGGUGCAAGCGUUAAUCGGAAUUACUGGGCGUAAAGCGUGCGCAGGCGGUUCGCCAAGUCAGGUGUGAAAUCCCCGGGCUUAACCUGGGAAUUGCGCUUGAAACUAGCGGGCUUGAGUGCGGCAGAGGGGGGUGGGAAUUCCACGUGUAGCAGUGAAAUGCGUAGAGAUGUGGAGGAACACCGAUGGCGAAGGCAGCCCCCUGGGUCGACACUGACGCUCAUGCACGAAAGCGUGGGGAGCAAACAGG
rnacentral:rRNA from 1 species